CAAAGACAAAUGAAAGAGAAAGAAAUAGGAUUUGAUAAUGUGAUGUCCUCAUUGUCUCUUCUUCUGAUUCAAUUCUUUUCAUUUAUUUUCUUUUCUUAUUAAAAGUGGCUUUUCCUUAUCUUGUUUUCUUCUGUGAGCCACUUUUAAGAAAAGAAAAAUAAAGAAAAGAAGAAUCCAGAAGAGACAAAUUUCCUGUUGAAGAUAACUUUCAUUUCAUUGUGGCUCUGUCUUGAUCUUAUUGUUGAGCCACAAUAAUAAAAUGAAAGUUAUC
rnacentral:ribozyme from 11 species